CGUCAGUGCACGGGUGGUGUCUUGAUUCAUUCAUUAAAUACAAAAAAAAUGCUUUCAGGAUGACCUUGACUUUGAUCAAAAUUCCCACUACACGAUGUUCUACUACAGAUGUGGAGUUUGUGAAACAAAUGUAACAAUGGUUCUAAAACAUUUCUUUUAAACCUUUUUUUGGAAUCCUGCAUCAAAUUUCACGCAUAAUUGAUAUACCCUAUCUCUUACUUUUUACGUGCAAAUGGUUGAAAAACAGAAAUUUAAUUUUUAAAUGAACAGUAGCUAUUACCAAUAACGUUCCUGUCAUAGAACCGAAAUUUUAAAUUGUUAAAUUAUCCAGAAAGGUGCAUUACAAGAUGCACCGUGAGUAAAAUUGUCUACGACAAGCUCGUCCAAAAGAUCAAUGCGUUGCUGUCAUUAUACAAACCGAAAACCAAAGAAACAGUUUUCUUAAACCACAAAUAUUGUCCAUAAUGGGAGUUGAAUAAAACAACACUAGCGAUUAUGGCCCACCAAUGCAACAGGAUGUUGCUAACCUUUGGAAAAAUACGGUCAAGAAAAGUUUAGACCUUGAUAAACGACGGAGUUUAUUAAAUAAAUUCCGAAUGGGUUCGUGUUUGUCUGCCAUUGGACUAGUCGUAACGAAUUUGCGCAAAGACGAGGAAGGGGUGAACAGCGAAACACUCUUGGACUCACCGAUUGACAUGUGGCUGUUUGGACAAAACUUGGAUGAGAAGCUAAAAGCUAAAAAGCAUCCAAAUAUCAUCCCAACAGCUCAAAAGUUCAAAAUCCUUCGAUAAGAAGCUUGGGACUGCUAGAGUCUUUUUAAAGGUACGAGAAAAACAGGAGAAAUACGGAAAUUGGUCGAAAGACGCGCAGGGUUAAAGAAAACUCAAUAACAAUCUUUUCUUGUUUGAAAGGCUACAAAAUUGGAUUCUUACUAAACUCAUGUCAAAAUGUUACUCCUAGAGAGUCACACUGGUACAUUAAAGACCGGCAAAUAAUUAAUAAGAAGGUAGCGAAGUUAAUUCGGGCAGAAGCUAUUUCUAGAGUCAACCAGAUUGAGGGUCAAUUUGUCUAAAAUAUGUUUGCCAUCCCUAAGCUGAACGGUUGGUUAUGGCUAAUUAUUAAUCUUAAACGUUUAAAUAAAUUUAUAAAAAUUAAGAAAGACGCAUAUUGUUUAUUACUUAUUACAACAGUAUAGAAAAUAUUUAGGAUUUCUUUUGAAGAGCUGUUUUUAUCAGUACAGUUGUUUCUGUGUCGAAUAAACUGUGCUCCUAGAGUUUUUACCAAAUAACAAAACCCAUUGUCACUAUUCUACGGAGGACAGGGUUCAUUUAGACGAUUUUUUGUUACCAAGUAAAUCAUAUAAUGAAUGGCUACAGAAUGUCUUGGAAAUAAUAUGGAUUCCGCAGUAUUUGGGCUUUAUAGUUAAUUUCAAUAAGAGUGACUUUAUUUAAGGUUUUUAGACAAUUAUUCAAAGAUUACAAUCACAUUACCAAAUGACAAACGGGAAAAACCUAAAAGUAUUUUACUAAAAAUUGAAAAAUAAAUUCUUCGUCUCGGUGUAGAAGGCUAUAAAAUAUGGAUAUUUGUAUACGAAGUUAUUUGAGCGCUAAGAGGGAACACCUACCAAACGCUACAAAUUCAUUAAGGCAAAAAGAAUAUGUCAUGAAAAUAUUGCAGGAAGCAUCAAAUACGGGAUGAGGCACUUAUUGUAACAAUAACAGUACAAGUGGUUUUGGUCGGAGGAUGAAAAUCACAUUAACUAUUUGGAGAUACUUUCUGUUAUUUAGGACUUAAGUGCUUUACGAGAAAUGUAGUCCACUCGAAUCCAGCUUGCAAUAAAAUACUAGAAAUUUAAAGGAAUCCAGUUAAUUAUGGGUAGUAAUUCAUAGGGUAAUGCAGAACAGGAACCCUUUACAAAUAGUUUUUUACGGCGACUUUAUGUAUUAUUCACGCAGAAGGUGUAACGGAACGAGGUUUAAAGGUUAAUGUAUACAUAUAUAUUCGAGUUAUUGCAAAAAGAUAUCUCAGAAGCACAGAAACAAAAUAUCAGCCAUCAGGAAAAGUUGAAGAGACUUAAGGAAGGGACAACAUAAUCAUCAACACUUGAAGUACCAAGUACAAGACAGGAGGUGCAAGCAUGUAUACGAAAGCAGACCGAAGGAAUAUAUGUAACAGACUUGUGACAAGGUAAAGAAGUUAUUAGUAUGACUGAAACUAUAUAAGUAAAUUUCAAAUAUGGUAACGUAAUUUUAUAAAGGUCGAAGGUGCCUUAGUUCCUUCAACUCAGUAUGUACCUCUAUGCAGAGGUGGAGGCAAUCGAAUGUACCUGUCGAACUGAAAGACUUGACUAGAGUUCUGGGAGCAAGCGAGUGACCUAGAUAUUAGUUUGGUUAUACAGUUGGUCACAAAAGCUUGGCAUGAGCCAUUUUUUUCGCAAGCCCCUGUAUGAAGGGAUAUUAGCCAAUUUGUUUUGGGAAUAAUUAUUAAAAUGCUUGUGCUUAAAAUUUUUGUUUCAUUUUAACCAUUUGAACAGGUUUACAUCAUAAAAGAGAUCAAUCAGUACAAAUAUUUUCUGCUACACCAAUGCAACGACAAAAGAUUUGGUGGGGCCAUUAGGGACAUUUCUGGCCCGCUCCGGGGCCGUGAUUCCAGAAGCCAGGUCCACGAACACAAAAACCGACGCAGGAGGAAUAAAGAAGUUUUGUCAAAAGUAUUACAGUAGCCUGUUUCUUUGAAAAAUUACCAUCCGAACUUUUAUUACUUUAUGCAUCCUAUCGCGUCGUUAUAAGUUUGGGUGCUACUUUUCAAAACAUUAGUGACGUG